AUCCGCGCAAGCGGUGGAUGAUGUGUUAAUUCGAUGCAACGCGAAAACUUACCACCUUUGACAUGUACGGAAUCCUUUAGAGAUAGAGGAGUGCUCGAAAGAGAACCGUAACACAGGUGCUGCAUGGCUGUCGUCAGCUCGUGUCGUGAGAUGUUGGGUUAAGUCCCGCAACGAGCGCAACCCUUGUCAUUAGUUGCUACAUUCAGUUGGGCACUCUAAUGAGACUGCCGGUGACAAACCGGAGGAAGGUGGGGAUGACGUCAAGUCCUCAUGGCCCUUAUAGGUGGGGCUACACACGUCAUACAAUGGAUGGUACAAAGGGUCGCCAACCCGCGAGGGGGAGCCAAUCCCAUAAAGCCAUUCGUAGUCCGGAUCGCAGUCUGCAACUCGACUGCGUGAAGUCGGAAUCGCUAGUAAUCGUGGAUCAGAAUGUCACGGUGAAUACGUUCCCGGGUCUU
rnacentral:rRNA from 1 species